rnacentral:rRNA from 1 species
GAUGAACGCUAGCUACAGGCUUAACACAUGCAAGUCGUGGGGCAUCAUGAUGUAGUAAUACAUUGAUGGCGACCGGCGCACGGGUGAGUAACGCGUAUCCAACCUACCCUCCACUCAAGUAUAGGCUUCCGAAAGGGAGAUUAAUCCUUGAUAUCGUCAUUCUCUCUCCUGUUAGAAUGAUAAAAGGACAUCGUUUCGGUAGAGGAUGGGGAUGCGUUCCAUUAGGUAGUAGGUGGUUUAACAGGCCACCUAGCCGAUGAUGGAUAGGGGUUCUGAGAGGAAUAUCCCCCACACUGGUACUGAGAUACGGACCAGACUCCUACGGGAGGCAGCAGUGAGGAAUAUUGGUCAAUGGGCGCAAGCCUGAACCAGCCAUGUAGCGUGAAGGAUGACGGUUUUUUUGAUUGUAAAAUUCUUUUUCUG